ensembl:lncRNA
UAGAGUUGAAGUUCCGUCCAAAAGGGUUUUAAGCUUCACUGGUGAGAGUGUCCAGGUGAUACAUGUUGAGGGAAGAUGAGAACAUAGCAGGUGAAUUGCAUGCACGCUUACAAACACACAUGAUUUAAAUAUAGGCCAGGCCAAAGGCCUGGACUUGAUGCAGCUUUCAACUUUACAGCUCCUAACUUGUAGGAAUGGCGUGGAGUGUAAUGAAUGAAUGCAAAACAUGCUUACAGACACAAUCAUGACAGGGGUUUAUUUUACAGGGUAAAGGUGGACCACAGGUUGCUUUGUUUCUGCUUAGCAACUACUGAGGUAAAUGGUGUUAAAGAUAAAUAUGCAAUAAGUGAACAAGAAAUGUGUGAGGGUGAGCCGGGUGAAACAAAAUGUUGUAGAUAAUGGAAACUUGUCUAACGGGCAUUAACAGUAACCUUUGCAUGUUAUGUAUAUGCUUGAGGCCAAAGGAGGCAUAAAUCCAGAUAGAAAACUUUGAAGUGUGCUUUUUAGCGGAGAUUUAGGCUGACAGGGGGAUGGUGUAUAUUUUACCCGGGGUGUGUUUAAUAAAAAAACUAAAAGCGUUGCUCACACACAUAAAGAAAAUACAUAAGUGAAAUCAAAUGCAAUGUAUGAUUUCACUUUUAUUGGGAAACAAUCAGGCUAGAAAUGUGAGUAACCUAUGUUUAAACUGUGAAAACACUCUCCACAUACAUUAAAACUGUGCAACUCUGAGUGGGCAAUGUAAUGAAGCAACUGUUACAUAUCUGUAUUAAACUAGCCAACAUAGACUCACCACCACAUGAUGUUGCCCUGCAGCGGGGGCAGAAAAUCAUUUCCAAACCAGGGAUCUUAUGUUGAUUAUCAUAUUCUUACUUAUGUACACACACACACACAGAAGGGAAAAAAUUUCAAAACAAAACAAAAAACAACUUCGCUUAACCUGUCAAGCACAGGAGCAAAAUAAAAAUCUCUUUGGGCUCUGUUAAAAUUUCUUUAGUAAAAGUGUAAAAGGCCAAACCUAGGAGGUUGGGCAACCCGGAAAGUCCCUCCAGUAUCAGGAGUUAAUAGUCAGGAAACAUUCUUCACUUUAACGCGUUUUUAUGAAAACCACUGACUCAUAGAUGCAGAUAGACAUACAAGUGCACAUACAUCCAGAUGUGCAUUUAGACAUUAAAAGUGUAGAGACAUGUACACACAGAUUGGCAAACCGGUACAGAGUCUAGCUGAAGAGCUUAACAAAGCAGACGUGGCAGUAGGGUUUGUGAUUUUGCCUGAUAUGAUAUUGGGAAUCAACUUUGAAUAAUGACAGGAACCUGAGAUGAACACAGUAGGUUAGUAAGGUGUAGCAGAGAGAGGGUCAGAGCGAAGGUAGUGGACCUGGGAAUAGUGUAGUGACGUCUUUGGAAGACGUCAAAAGGGGAAUUGUAGAAUUAUAGGGACUAUUUUACAUAACCAUCAUCUUGUCAUUGCAUUAAUUAUCAUUUCAUCCAAGCAUUUAUUGAAGCUGCUGGCAUUAUGUUAUAAUUUAUAUUAUAGGGGUUAUCAUAAUCAAAUAUUAACAUGUUUAUUACAGGUGCAGUUAUAACUACUUUAAAAUGAUUGAGUUAAAUAUAUGUAUCAUAACUCAUAUGCUGAGUAUAUUGGUACAGUAAAAUAGUAGCUGAGCAAAGGCCUGAAUGUAUUCAGCUUCUUGUGGUAUUUGAGUUUGCCUAGUUACAGGUGACGGAAGGAUGUCCAGUCCAUGGUGACCUCAAAGGCCUUGGGUCAUCACUAUAUUCGGAAGAGUAUGCCACAAGGAGGAACCUCUAUGUUGCAGUUAAUUCUUAAAAUACAUGAAUGUUCUGUACAUGCAAAUUAUGUGCUUGUAAACGCAAGAAGGGGCGUUACAAUACCCUGAUGCUAUAAAAGCAAUCUAGAGUGUAUUUUGGGUAGAGAUGUACAACUGCUUUGCAGUUUGCACCUCUCCACGCUGCGUGCAUUCAUUAAAAUCAAUUGUUUGAACGGCC